GGCGGUCACCGCUCUUGGAAUCCGAUUAAGCCAUGCGAGUCGAGAGGGUUCGGCCCUCGGCAGACUGCUCAGUAACACGUGGAUAACCUACCCUGGGAUGGGGCAUAACCUCCGAAAACUGAGAAUAAUUCCCCAUAGGUCUAGGACGCUGGAAUGCCUCUAGGCUGAAAGUUCCGACGUCCCAGGAUGGGUCUGCGGCCUAUCAGGUUGUAAUGAGUGUAAAGGACUCACUAGCCGACGACGGGUACGGGCCAUGGGAGUGGUAGCCCGGAGAUGGAUUCUGAGACACGAAUCCUGGCCCCACGGGGCGCAGCAGGCGCGAAAACUUCGCAAUGCGCGAAAGCGCGACGAGGGGAUUCCAAGUGCAUGCACUCAGUGUAUGCUGUUUACCAGUUUAAAAAGCUGGUAGAGUAAGGGCUGGGUAAGACUGGUGCCAGCCGCCGCGGUAAUACCAGCGGCCCUAGUGGUGAUCGUUAUUAUUGGGCCUAAAGCGUCCGUAGCCGGCUCGGUAAAUCUCUGGGUAAAUCGAUGGGCUUAACUCAUCGAAUUCUGGGGAGACUGCUGGGCUUGGGACCGGGAGAGGUUGGAGGUACUCCAGGGGUAGGGGUGAAAUCCUGUAAUCCCCGGGGGACCACCGGUGGCGAAGGCGUCCAACCAGAACGGGUCCGACGGUAAGGGACGAAGCCCUGGGGCGCAAACCGGAUUAGAUACCCGGGUAGUCCAGGGUGUAAACGCUGCGCGCUUGGUGUUGGGGGUCCUCCGUGGACGUCCAGUGCCGGAGAGAAGUUGUUAAGCGCGCCGCCUGGGGAGUACGGUCGCAAGACUGAAACUUAA
rnacentral:rRNA from 1 species